UACGUAGGGGGCGAGCGUUGUCCGGAUUUACUGGGCGUAAAGAGCUCGUAGGUGGUUUGUCGCGUUGUUCGUGAAAACUCACAGCUCAACUGUGGGCGUGCGGGCGAUACGGGCAGACUAGAGUACUGCAGGGGAGACUGGAAUUCCUGGUGUAGCGGUGGAAUGCGCAGAUAUCAGGAGGAACACCGGUGGCGAAGGCGGGUCUCUGGGCAGUAACUGACGCUGAGGAGCGAAAGCGUGGGGAGCGAACAGG
rnacentral:rRNA from 1 species